GUGUGGACAUUAGGAAGAAGUUCUUCACAGAAGGAGUGAUGGGGCAUUGGAAUAGGCUGCCCAGGGAGGUGGUGGAGUCACCGUCCCUGGACAUGUUUAAGAAAAGAUUGGAUAUGGCACUCAGUGUCAUGGUCC